UGCUGGUACUCAGCUCACUCCAUGGCCGUUUGAUUACUGAACUUUUGAAAAUAAUCUGUCAUUAUAUGUUCCUAUGAUCUGGCGUGCGUUGGUUAAAUUCAGGCUUUUAAUAACCUGCGAUUUGGCUUCCGCGAACAUAAGGUCCUGGUACGCAUAUUGUUACUGGAACUCCAUUCCCUUACGGCGCCUUUAGCAACACUCUGUGGGAAAAAUGCCUCUCAGCAGCAAUAGACUAUGUCCUCGUUGCCCUGCAUUGGCCUUGCAUAAAGAGACUACAAUAUUUUCACUGUUCUUAGGCACGAGGCAUGUUAUGCAUGUGUACAUUUUCAACUCGCAUUGUCUUUGAUUGUUUGUAUCAUAGCAUACAUUCUGGGG
rnacentral:sRNA from 1 species